AAAAAUCUGUCUGGGGAUUGGUCCUGCUUUGAGCAGGGGCUUGGACUAGAUGACUUCCUGAGGUCCCUUCAACCGCUGAUAUUCUAUGUUUCUGGGAUUUAAAAGUG